rnacentral:lncRNA from 13 species
AAGCGUGUCCUCUGCUCUCUUCCGGGGGGUUCAGCAGGGAGGAGGCAAAAGCAGCCUCGAAGGCAGGAAUAGUUCAUACUGCAGUCAAAACUGAGCAUCUCGGUGACUUUACCAUGACAAGAAAACCGCAGUGCAAACUCAUGUUACUGCUCAGAGAGGAGCGGAUAGUUAUCAGGGUUGCUGAUGAGUUUUAAAUUAUUCUGUGGAGCCUCCCAGCAUCUUGCUACAAACACAUCCAUCACUUGUAUGAGUUGAAUAAAUAACACAAGUGACAUACCUGGCAACUGGUGGGUUUUCAAAAUACAUUGCAUUUCUUUGCUACUUCUAUGUUGCCAACUGAAAUAGUGGGUAAUGGUUUAAAUGUGGCGAUGGAAUAGUCUGUUUUCAGGAGAGAAUAUCUGCAGUUUUGCCAGCUAUCAACAGAUGGCAGAGUAUUUUUAUUUAUUUUUGUGCAUAUAUUUAAGCUCCUAAAUUAAUAAUGAAGCCCAGACAACAUUUUAGUGACCAUUUUAAGGCUGUCUUCUCACAAUAAACAAGAAUCCUAGACCAGGAAAGUCAUCACCUUUACACCUGUGUACACAGUCAUAAACGCACUGGCUGUUGCAGUACAGCUUUCCUGGUUGAAGUGAAUCACAUCUGUUGCAGAUUGUCUUGACAGCUCUUGAAAACAUCCACAAUAAAAAUUUCAUACUUUGUCCAGGCUGCCUGCCUUCCACAUAAAUAGUCUGUUUCCUAAUGUCCUCUUUGGACCUCCUUGUGCCCAUAGUUUCAUGUUGUAUUGUGUGCCACGACCACAGGAAAUUGAGCUCUGCCAGAUUUGUAAUCCCCCUUAGAGCAGCUGCAGGGUGCUGUUUUAUGGGCCCUUGUGCUCGUCAACAGGCAGGGCAGGCCUGGCAUACCUCAACACCUCCUUCAAUGUGAUGUGGUUUAAAUCCCAUUUGUCUUGGUAGCCUUCACUGGAGGUACCCUGUCUUGGUCUGAGAAAGCACCAAAGUGGGCCCUGUGUCCAGCCAGUGCCUCACCAACACUAAGCAAAGGGGGAUAGGAACUUUCCUCAGCAUGCUGGCUGUACUCCUGAUGUAGGCUACUGUGUGAUUUCCCCCUCUUUGGGAUGAGAGCACACUUUGUGCUUAUGUUGGACUUGGCUUUCACAUAACCCCAGGUCCUUUCUGACAAAGCUGCUAUACAGCCUGUUUCUUAACAGCCUGUUUCUUCACAGUUGGUACUAACCCUUUUUAGGUCCAGAACUGAGCAUUUAUCCUUGUGGUUCUCUGUGUUAAACAUGUUGAAACUUCUGCCAGCCCAGUCCAGAAGCUUCCUAAAGUCCCUUACAGCUUAAGCUCUACCAUUUAGUGUGUCAGCCAUCCCUUCUAACUUAGUGUUACCUUAAAAUAGCCCAAGAGUGCAUCCUGUCCCAUGGUCCAGGUUUUUAAUAAGACAAUGCUCCAUAUGGACUCUAGUAUCAAACCCUAGAGUACUCAACUUGUUUUGGGCCUUCAGACGCAUAGCCAAGCCACCAGUGCCACUCACUGAGCCUGUCAGCCUUGGCAGUUUUCAAUGCACCUAUUAGACAGCUUGUUCAUGCCAUAGUUCAUCAGUUUUUGAGUGAAAGUGCUGCAGGAAAUAAUUUCAACCACUGUAAUGAAGUGAAGAUUGUGUCCUCUGCUCCAUCCUUGUCCACGGUAGCAAUCAGAUUGGCCAAGUGUGAUUUGUUCUUCAUAAAUCAAUGCCAGCUGUUCUUGACUGCCUUCUUAUCCUUUACAGGUCUCUUUCUAAUAGAGCUUCAUCCACAUUUUUUGUGUAUCUUGCAGCCUCUUUCUGGUUUCCUGAAUGGUUGAGAAAAAAGCCUUCAGAACGCAAUCAUAGAAAUAACGUGGAGUAAUUUAAUAAUUUGCAUUUUAAAUAAGAUGCUGUAUCUAGUUCAGAAAUGCUAUUCUUAAGGCUAGAUGAUAAUAGGUACAUUGUCUUUUAACCCUUCCUGAAUGUAUCUAUUCAGUGCACAUGUUUAGUAUUUAUAACACUUUGAAUCCAGUAAUCGAUUUGCUCUUGCAAAUCCAUUAAUAAUUCUUUAAUAUGGGUAAGUCGUAUACACACCACAUGUAUGGAGGAGGUAUGAUUUUUCAAUUUUAUUGUCUGACAAAUUCUUUGCCACUGAUGUCCUUAAGGUAUGUUUUUAGAAUGAACUCUUGAAUGAUAUUAAUGAGCCUGGACUCACAGGCACUGGCGUCAGUGUAAUUUUUGUAAUAUUUGUCAAAUUUGUAGCAUUUAUAUGUAUAUAAUUCUUCUGCAUGCACUUGGUGUGCUGUUUUUGCAUAUUGCUUAUUUACACUGGUUUUCACCCAGUCAUUCUGUGACAGUAUUUAGAGGUAUCAUUUAUGUGCUUUUCCAAGUACCUAUCAAAUGCGUCAUGUGUAGUAUUAAAUGCAUGGACUCUCUGUAGCCUGGAGGAUCCUAACAUAGUACAAAUAUUAGCUCUGUCAUGAUUUUAUUCUUGAGUAAGUAGACUGAAAACAGAAACAAAUUUGGGAUGCUCAUCUCCAUGCAAUUUUAAGCAGCUUUUUUUAUGUAAUUCAGAAACUUCAGCAAGGAUUAUCAGAGUCUCCCUACAGGAUAUUAAGGUAGUGCUAAGGCUUAAGUCUCAAUCUUUCAUCAGUCUCAGCUGGCUUUUUUCUCCAUCUUUUGCCAGAACAGUUGGCAAUUCCAAAAAAGAAAUCCAAAUAAGCUAGUUACCGCAGAGUAAUUAUGAUUUGGUAGCUGGAGAUGGCGCUCUCUGCCCACAGAUUUUUGCUUCCACCGCAUUUGCUGUUGCCCAAUGCCAGAUUGGAGUUGUGCUUCCAUUUCUUUAAGAAAUAGCGCUGGGGGAGAGGGGAUGCUGUGCACACUCGGUGCAGUAAUGUGAAAAUCAUCUCCCCAGAUGCCAGGUGGCUGGGAGCAGACCCGGUAACUACUCCUAGAGUGGACCACAAUCAGUCUGUGGUUUAUAUAAUGCAGCACCAAUGAUAACACAUCAGGUUUUGAAAACCCUUAUGUGUUCUGCCAGCAUGGGCAUAGUAAACCUUGUAUUGGCAAAAUAUCUUCAGGAAAAUAACUGAUUGUUGGGAUUCAUUUGUUAUCAUCUGGCAGGAAAAGAAAAACAAAAUAAAGAGUUGCAUAGUUCAGUGGACAUGGCAAAAUGAUUGUGUAUCACAGACCCUUCAGGAAAGAAUAGCAGCCUUGAUGCCCUCCUUAAUAGCAAAAAGAUUGAUGAGCACCUGCCAGACACUGUAAAUGGUCAUUUUAGUUUUCCAGACUAUAAUAUCUUCCUUUGUCUGAGGCAAUCUUAGCAACUAUGUAGAGUUAGCUAGUGCAACUCUCUUGCAAGAAUUCUUCAGUAAGGGUCCCUAAGAGCAAACCUUUGGAGUGACAGGUACACAUGUGCCGUGUGGCUCCCUUCACUCUGCCAUGCAAUUCGCAGUGCUGGACUGUAUGUUCUUGUGCCCAGGGAGCCCACACUGCCCUACGUGGGCUUUCAAAGCAGGGGAGAGGCACCUGAGAGAGGCACUGUGCACUGAUGUCUGUGCCGAGGGCUGGACAUCUUCUGCUGAGACUUCAGAGUCACAGAAUGGUUUGGGUUGGAAAAGACCUUAAAGAUCAUCUAGUUCCACCUCUCCACAACAAGCAGGGACACCUUCCAUUAGACCAGGUUGCUCAAAGCCCCAUCCAACCUGGCCUUGCACACUUGCAGGGAUAGGGCAUCUACAACUUCUCUGGGCAAUCUGUACCAGUGUCUCACCACACUCACAGGAAAGCAUUUUUUUCCUAAUACCUAAUCUAAACCUACUCUCUUCCACUUUAAAGCCAUUCCAUCUUGUCCUGUCACUACAUGCCCUCAUGUAUUUUCUAAUAUGCCCUCCAUAUUAGAAAGCUGAGGAGAAUGUACACUUAUGGUAGCCUUCCAGUAGUCAGCAAUAACUGUCCAGAGUGUCCCUGUCCUGUGUAACUAACCUGUGGCAUCACUACUGGAAAGAAAAAUGUUCUUCUUGCUGCUGUUGCAUAACAUCUUGGGCUUUCUGUGAUUAACAAGGUAUUUUCUAUCAGAAUCGUUAGGAUUAACCUAUCUAAACAUUCAAAAUGAAGAAAAAGUGGGUUUCCCUUAUAUGUGUAACACAUCUGCAGAGCCAAGAGUAGACGUUAGAAUAGCACAUUUGGGGGGAAAAAAAAGUCAAUUUAAGAGCAAAUCAAUCUUACAUGAGCAGAACAUUUCUAAUGUAAAAAGGCAGCUGAAUUAGAGGAUUAGGUCACACUGCCUGAUUAACAUCAUUUGAUCUUCUGCUUUUGAAAAGCCACUGGCCUGCUCAGAGAAUGGAAGCAUUCAAACUUUCAAUGACACCACAAGCCUGGCUUAGAAAAAAACCUGCUAAACUGAAAACAACUUGCCUUGCUUCAGUAAUUGUUGGUUUGUCUCUGCUGUAGGGGGAUGCAUCCAAAUCAGGAUUUAGAAAUCCCUCACAUUUUGCUAUAACAAAGACGGACUGCAAAACUGAAUGGGGACAUCUUGGGCACUGUGUGGGAGAGGCUUACAGCAUGCGAAUCUUGCCUUGCUUUGCCAUAUCAUAUUUAUGUCUUGUUUAAUGGUGGAAGGCAGAUACUCAAAUAUCUGUUUGAUGUUUGGUUUUGCCUUUUAAACUUUUGCAGGGUAGAAGGUAACAAAAAAAGAAAAAAAACCCCUCACCUUGGACCACAGAGCCCACUCAGGAUCUGAGACAUAACCACUGAUGAUAUUUGAUAAGAGAGCAAGAGAGGGAGUUCUAGUUACAGUUUUGGUUUGGUUUGGUUUUUUUUUUAAACUGAAUUUAUUUUAACUAAGGAGCAUGUUUAAGCAAAGAAACUUUUCCUAAAAUUUUAACUCUUGCUUGUGAGCCUCAAAGUAAAAUUGUAACAGAUCAGCCUUGGUUUUCUGAAAUUUUCUAAGGGAAAGCGAGAAUGAGAAUGAACCAUUCUAUGACAUAAUUAAGCCUUCUGUCACUGGAAACACCAAGAACAAGAAUAAAUCCCAUGUUAAAAAAUCCUCUGGCUACCUCUUGUAUCUUUUCUGUUAAAAAUCCUGUACUGUUUUCACUUAAUUGUACUUAAAUGAAUUUUGAAGGGAUUUUAAGUCCCCUGACACUGUCAGCACUUAGUAAAGUAAAUAGCAAGCAGACAGAAAUCAAAGAAUUUAUUUCCUACCUCUAAUGAUCUGAUGAUCAGUUUGCUCAAAGGAUUUUUCUGUGCUUUUUGUAAAGUACUAACCAGCAUUCAC